rnacentral:misc_RNA from 1 species
GAUGAAGAACGUAGCGAAAUGCGAUAAGUAGUGUGAAUUGCAGAAUUCAGUGAAUCAUCGAAUCUUUGAACGCACAUUGCGCCCUUUGGUAUUCCUUAGGGCAUGCCUGUUCGAGCGUCAUUUAAACCUUCAAGCUAAGCUUGGUGUUGGGUGACUGUCCGCUUCACGGCGGACUCGCCUCAAAAUUAUUGGCGGCCGGUACAUUGGCUUCGAGCGCAGCAGAAACGCGAACUCGGGCCCGUCGUAUUGGCUCCCAGAAGCUAUCUUCACAAUUUUGACCUCGGAUCAGGUAGGGAUACCCGCUGAACUUAAGCAUAUCAAAAAGCGGAGGA